AAGUAUAGAGGUCCCGCCUGCCCUGUGACUAUAUGUUUAACGGCCGCGGUAUUUUGACCGUGCGAAGGUAGCGCAAUCACUUGUCUCUUAAAUGGGGACCUGUAUGAAUGGCAUAACGAGGGCUUGACUGUCUCCUCUUUCAAGUCAAUGAAAUUGAUCUCCCCGUGCAGAAGCGGGGAUAUACACAUAAGACGAGAAGACCCUAUGGAGCUUUAGACACUAAAGCAGAUCAGCAUUAAUACCCCAAACACGGGGCACGAAUAAACUGAACCCUGCCCUAAUGUCUUAGGUUGGGGCGACCGCGGAGAAAUAAAAAACCCCCGCAAGGACCGAAUGUACUACAUUCACAACCAAGAGCGACAGCUCUAAUUAACAGAUACUUCUGACCAAUAAGAUCCGGCAACGCCGAUCAAUGGACCAAGUUACCCUAGGGAUAACAGCGCAAUCUCCUCUUAGAGCCCGUAUCAACGAGGAGGUUUACGACCUCGAUGUUGGAUCAGGACAUCCUAAUGGUGCAGCCGCUAUUAAGGGUUCGUUUGUUCAACGAUUAAAGUCCUACGUGAUCUGAGUUUCCAGACCGGA
rnacentral:rRNA from 1 species